rnacentral:rRNA from 1 species
AUGAACGCUGGCGGCGUGCCUAAUACAUGCACGUCGAGCGAACAGAUGAGGAGCUUGCUCCUCUGACGUUAGCGGCGGACGGGUGAGUAACACGUGGAUAACCUGCCUAUAAGACUGGGAUAACUUCGGGAAACCGGAGCUAAUACCGGAUAAUAUAUUGAACCGCAUGGUUCAAUAGUGAAAGACGGUUUUGUUGUCACUUAUAGAUGGAUCCGCGCCGCAUUAGCUAGUUGGUAAGGUAACGGCUUACCAAGGCAACGAUGCGUAGCCGACCUGAGAGGGUGAUCGGCCACACUGGAACUGAGACACGGUCCAGACUCCUACGGGAGGCAGCAGUAGGGAAUCUUCCGCAAUGGGCGAAAGCCUGACGGAGCAACGCCGCGUGAGUGAUGAAGGUCUUCGGAUCGUAAAACUCUGUUAUUAGGGAAGAACAAAUGUGUAAGUAACUAUGCACGUCUUGACGGUACCUAAUCAGAAAGCCACGGCUAACUACGUG